rnacentral:tRNA from 1 species
AACCUUUUCAACCUCAAAGAUAGUCAGAAUACCGUAGUCAUUAACCAGUGCUUUAGCUGCACGUUGGUCGCUUUC